CUACAAUAUUGGUCCUUCGAACCGGAACACUUCACCCACGACGGAGCCAUGGACGCACAGAGAACAGCAGCAGCCGAAAGCGGAACACAAGGACGAGGAAGGCCGCGACAACUUCCAGCACACAUGCAGGGCUAUCAGGCACUUUGGGCAGCCCAGGUAGCGCCGUAGGGUCCUAGAGUUACAAGUUGUACGGGGCUGCGCCAGGGCUCGUUGCGCGCGACUGUUUAACACGUCAUGACAGAGAAUGCGUUCUUGAAGAAAAAACCAUUCCUACAUCAUUCAUAGAUCUGUUCAUCCAUUCCGUCAUUUAUUUGGUUACUUAUUGAAGCCAUCAUUGAUGUCAUUCGACUGCAAGAGAUAUAAACAUCCUGAACUGUUCCCUGUGUAUGCGUCUACUCUCUGAUCGGAGUUACCGUCCUGGAUAAAGUGAUCCCAGCAAACGCACACAUACAUUCUACAAUACUUUG
ensembl:lncRNA